rnacentral:sRNA from 1 species
GGGAGGCGGCGGCGCUGUGGUCCGUGGGUCCGCCGGUCCGUGGGUCUGCCCGGCCGCCCGGCCCCGCCCUGCCCCCCGGGGCGGCUCGGCUCCAUGGCCCGCGGCGGCGGCGGCGGCGGCGGCGGGAGGCGACCCGGGGGCCGCGGUGGCCCCUGACCGGGCGGCGGGAGGCGGCGGGGCCGGGCCAUGGGGGACGGAACCGUCUGCAGCCGCCGGAGCCGGGAGCCCUGCCCAAGCCGGAGCGGCGUCCCCUGCUGAGCCCCGAGCGCCGGGUGAGAGGAGGGCGCGCGCGGCCCCCACCCAGGGCCCCGAGAUUCCAGACCCAGCCCCGCGAGGGGCACCCCGAGCGCGGCCCCGAGAUCCCAACCCAGGAGCCGGCCAGCAGCCGGAUGCCCGGGCCCACUGGGCAGGCCAGUGGCCGCCUGCGGGAUGAGCAGACUGCUGGGGGGGACGCUGGAGCGCGUCUGCAAGGCUGUGCUCCUUCUCUGCCUGCUGCACUUCCUCGUGGCUGUCAUCCUCUACUUUGACGUCUACGCCCAGCACCUGGCCUUCUUCAGCCGCUUCAGUGCCCGAGGCCCUGCCCAUGCCCUCCACCCAGCUGCCAGCAGCAGCAGCAGCAACUGCUCCCGGCCCAACGCCACCGCCUCUAGCUCUGGGCUCCCUGAGGUCCCCAGUGCCCGGCCCGGUCCCACGGCUCCCAUGCUGCCACCCUGUCCUGACUCGCCACCUGGUCUUGUGGGCAGACUGCUGAUCGAGUUCACCUCACCCAUGCCCCUGGAGCGGGUGCAGAGGGAGAACCCCGGCGUGCUCAUGGGCGGCCGAUACACACCGCCCGACUGCACCCCAGCCCAGACAGUGGCGGUCAUCAUCCCUUUUAGACACCGGGAACACCACCUGCGCUACUGGCUCCACUAUCUACACCCCAUCUUGAGGCGGCAGCGGCUGCGCUAUGGCGUCUAUGUCAUCAACCA